ensembl:Y_RNA Y_RNA Y RNA
GGUUGGUCUGAGUGCAGUGGUCGUUUACAUCUAAUUGAUCACAACCAGUUACAGAUUUGUUUGCUCCUUCCCCACUCCCACUGCUUAACUUGCCUAGCCUAAA